CUAUAAUUUCUCUGCUGUGCAAUCAAAUACUAGAACUUCUUCCUUCGAACGCUAUAUCCCUAAUUCAAUAACAAGUAAACUGAAGCUCAGCAUGGUCUAGGAACUUUGUUACGUUAACACAGCAAGUGAGUGUUGCAGCCUGGAUCCAAAAAUCAGGCCUGGUAGACCUCAAAGUCCAGAUUAUUGACCUUUCUACCAUAAUGUAUGGAGUUUUAGGAUUUGAAGAUAAAAGAGGUGAAAAUUUGGAAAUGGUUUCUGGACUUUGAAUUUUGGCAAACAGCUAUGUGAUAAGUCCACCCUGCAGACCCACAACUUUUGGAAAUAACUCUACUGUGACCUUCAGUAGCAGAAGCUGCUCCUGGGGUGGUAGAACACAAGGAAAACACACACUAGUAAAAAUUUCAUGUGCCUUCUUUGUUCUGUACAUGUGUUUCUCUUGAUUAGUAUAUGGUAGUAUCCUCAAAUCAUAGUAACAAGUAUACUUUUUCCAGUGAAUUGCAUGUGUAUAUUAUUGUAUAGUAUAAAAGGCAAUAUUUCCAUUUAUUAUCAUCUGUGCUUUUCAAAGAAACUCUGUGAGUCCAAAAGGGCGAUAAUAGAAGCAACUGCCCUUUCUCUCCCCCGUUAAAUGCAACCCAAUGUCAAAGUCCGUAGCAUCCCCAAAUGAGUGUGUUAAAGGUGAGAAAUUCCCAGAGUCAAACUCAGUAGCAUCCUUGAAUGAGUGUAUUAAAGGUGAUAAAUUUAUUUUAUUUAUGUUCUUUUUAACCUGUGUUCUCAGAAACAGAGACUACUGUAUUUCAUCCUACCUUAGUCUUGCUUAGCAGUUUCUCUUCUCCUUUGAGGCUCUUUUAUUUUUAAAUCAUUGUUCAUAUCUUCUAAUUUCCCCUUUCUCCCAUUCUUUCCAUAUUUUUAAUCUUUUUUUAACUUUAUCUCUGUUCUGCUUUUUCUGUAUUUCAAAUUGAUCCAUAGACUUUAGAAAAAUGAGUUGAAUGCUGGCUGUAGGCUGUCUUAUCCCCAGCAAGAAACAUGUUGUAAAGUCUUAGUACCUUCCCACUGGAAGAUCAUUAGUCAUGGCUACUAUGUUUUUAAAUGAGAAUUGUUUUAAUUAUGCAUUUUAAAAUUAUUGGAAAACAUGAGGGAGAGGAAUGAACCAUAAGUAAUAAAGAUUAUUGACUUGAAGUUAAGACCUUACUAUGAUCUGGGAUUAUUAGUCUUACUUGUCAAUCAAGAACUAUCCACUUUCUAUUUGUUUGUGGGUAUCUAAUAUGGUUAUAUACACAGAAGUAAUGAUAAUUGAUAUGAAAAGGUCUCCUCCUGUUAUAUCAAUUUAGGUAUUUUUCACACAUUGUGUACCUCAUUCUUCUCCUAUUCAAUUUUCACUAAUUCCUAAAGGGUCAGGUCAAUGUCCUUGGCAUAACCUCCUCCACCUGUUCUUAAUGGCAAUUGUAUCUUCUGCCCUCCAAUAUCUAUAACACUUUUUUCUUUAAAACUC
rnacentral:lncRNA from 1 species